UCCUUGUGAAUUCUCCUGGAUGCCAUUAAUCCUACUCAAUUCUUGGAUGGAAUUAAAAAGGGAAAAAAUUCCCAAUAAUAAGAAUUUACAACUUAUGAAUAGAAAGAGCUCAACUUGUUAAAAAUUUUCAGUAUUGCAAAUAUAUAUAUAGGGGUCUAGGAGAAGAGAAUCAUUUCUUUAUCAGUAAUUAUUCAGUGGUCACUCAUUGGUAUUAGAUUCUAUGGGAGAAAGCAUUUGUAAAAGAAACAUGCACUUCAAAAAUGGACGAUAGAUGAUCUUUCAAACUUGUGAAGAACACACAAACAAAGAUUAUAUUCUACUGCUUAGCUUUUCUCAACUUCCCAAAAUAAAGAUUUUCAAUUUGAAAAGAAUAAACUAUGCAACAAUUUCCGGUUCUUUCAUUCUGUUUGAUCGAAUUUCAUCUUAUUUGUAUAGAUUCUUAAUGUAUAUGUUCAUGGUAUUUUCCCGAGUGAGGCGGACCCAAGAUCUGAAGGUGGCGGCGCACAUGAGAGAACUACUCAACCAGUGUCUUAUUUAACUUUUGAGCUUAAGGAUUCCGCAUAAAAUAUAUAAUCAUUUUCAACAUAGAUACACAUAUAUAUCUAAAAUUUUAGCCGAAGUUAAUAGAGUCUAAUGACCCCUCUACUUUGAACAUAGGUCAGUCUCUGCUACGAGUGGCUAUUAGAAUGAUAUUCCCAUCGUAAUAUUCAUGAAUUAGUCUUUUGGUUGGAUACUUAAAUCUUGUUUUAUGAAUGAUUUAGACCAAAUUUAAACUACACAUUAGUAAUAAACAAUUAUAAUGCAAAGAAUAUUUAUGCGGUGAAUGAUGAGUAUGUAUUUUAGAACAUUUUUGGAUUUUACUUACUCCACAUGUUGCAAAAACACAUAUUCUUAUUCCAUAUUUUAAUCCUUUUGUCACACCCCUUUUUACCCCCAAAAAGAUAUAUAUUAUUAUAUGGGUUAAAGAGUUUUUCCAACUUAAAGUGAAGAAUUUGAGUAAGGAUUAUUUUAUUUACAGAGUCGCCACUUCGAAUUGAUUUUUGGGUGUUUCAAGUCACCUUUUAUUUGAAUCCCUAGUCAAAGGAAAGAUGACUCUAUUUAUUAUUGGUCUGCGAAAAUAAAAUCCGGGUAAGAAAUUUUGUUGACUGGGGAGAAGGUGUAAGGCAUUCCCCGAGUCCCAUGGUUCUAGCACGGUCGCUUUAUUGACUACAACUUGGCUUGAAUUAAUUUUGGAUAAACUGUGAUUGAUUAAUUUUUAUAUUUUAUCUAUCUGCUUUUAAUCAUUAAAAUAUGGGAUUAUCCUUGAAACGAAUCACGUGUGUGAAUCCGUUUUGUUUAUUGUGCCAAAAUCAUAUCACGCGUAUGUGUACACAAUUAAUAACAUUUUAUUAUACUAAGAUUAUUUUGCCCAAAGUUGCGCGAACGCGUACUUCAAUUUUAAUUUUGAAAAUUAUAACUAUGUUACACGAAUGUGUACAUAAUCAUGAUAAUUUAUUUAUUAAUAUGCGCCUAAAGCAUACUAGCGAUUAUUAAGAAUUUUUUUUCUAAACUAAUUUUGAGAUUAUUGCAAGGUCAUUGAUUAUGGAUAAAUAAUUAUUGUGGAAGACGUUAUGUACUCUAGUUAUUAAGCUAAUGGACCAGUGAAUAUUUCAAAGGAAAUUAAAGCUCAAAUGCACCUUUUUAAAGAAAUCUACUGGGUCCAAUUAGUCCUAACCGCUCAUACACUCUAAUUAUUAUCAUGACAAAUGUUAGCUCAAUACCAACCCUUUAACAACAUAUCCAACAAUCCCAACGGCCCAAUGAUCUUGUCUAACAACCCACUUGCCGGCUAUAAAAUCUUCAUUAUUCAGUCUUUCUAAGAAGAUUAAAUCUUACUACAAUUUAUAAAAAAUGUUAUCUAAGUAAUUUAUCAAUCAAUUGCCUUGAAUCAGAAAAAAAAAAAACUAAAGUAUGAAAAAUUACAUAAAUAAUAUAAUAACUCGUGGCAUGGAAACACAUAUCAUUCGCAUAGAAGAACUAAACAAGAGCUUAAAAUAUUUAUUUAGACAGAAAAUGAAGGAUGUAGCGAACCUUUGGUGGAGUAAAACUUUCUUCAUUGUAUUAAUAAAAAAUUUCAAGCAUUGAAUUACAGAGAGAACUCACCAACCAAUCUUGAAGGCAGAAAACUACGAACAAAUACCUCUGACCGGAAACCUCGAUGACGACCUCAACAACAACCUCCUAUUGGUGGUGUUUGGGGUAAGUUUCAGCUGCUAUUUUGUGGAUUUCGCGAUUGUUUUUAGGAAGUUUGGUGGUCGUUUUGUAGCUGGUUUUUCAGCUGAUUUUCUCUACUAUUUUUGGCUGUUUUAACAGCUGAUUUUGCUAUAAUUUUUGGGGUGGGUUUUAGGUGCUGAUUUUGGAGAAGCUAAGGCCGCUCAUCUUUUUUUUUUGAGAAGGAACUAUCCCGUUUUCUUUUUUUUUUCCGCUGCUUUAAGAAGAAGAAAAAAGGGUUGCUAAGUUUUUUUUAAUGAGAAGUAGUGCUCUUUUUAUUCUCUCUUUCUUCCUCUUUUUACUCCCAUUUUUUCGUAUUGUCCCCCUCUUUCCUCUUCCCCUUUUUGACUUUCCUCCUCCAUUUUUUGACUUUUUGUUGUAUGUGUUUGGGAUGGAGAUAAAACUCCUUUUUUUUUGUGAGUGUCCGUGUGUGUUGGUGGAGGGAUUAUGUGAGGAAAGUGCAUGGGAAAAGUGAAAGUGUGAGUGGAAAAAGUAAAAAAUGAGGUAUUGGUGAGAUGAGUAGAAAGGAAAUUCACGCAUAGUAAAAAAUUAGGUGCUCACAACAUGCCCCUCUUUGCUUAGAAACAUGAGGAGUUUUCAAGCAAAAACAAGGUAAGCCAUGUGACUAAAUUUUUGACCAAAUUAUUAUUUAAAAAGGAAAAAUAAAUAAAAGAAAAGGGUGCAACCAAGUCCUGGUUUUGGAUAGCCUACAUAUCCCUGGUUAUAAGGGAAUUAAGCUAUGUGUAGUUCAAGGAGGAAGAAUGGAAUGGUGGAAUGAUGAGUAGGAGAGUCGAGUGAGGUUUUGUCGAGGCUCUGGUCCGCGGUCUUGUUAUUACAUCAAGAUCAAAAGAAACUAAACAAGCCUAUCAGCUAUCAGUUACAAGAUUCCUAUCUAUAAGUCUUCUAAAAUUUGAUCUUGAGUCUUGACUGGUUCUUCACGCAGACUCUGAUCUGAACCUUGAUGCUAUCUAGCUGGAUGUGGUAGUUCAUUCUUCUACGGCUUCUUCUGAUCAAAACGAAAAAUGUAAAGCUCGUAACUUUAGUCAUGUCUUGAGUGGUCCAUAUCCUUUUCAGCUGCUUCUGCAUUUGGAUUCACUUCUUUUCCUUUUCUUUUCUUUAUUCUGGAUUGAGAAUUCUUCUUUGGUCAUCUUGAACCCUGUGACUCGAGGUAAAACCUGCUCAAACACCAAAACAAACAAACGAACAAAAUUUUUCUGCCCUAGUUUUCACUAGAAAAAUUUUGUGAGUUAUUGUAACAAAAUUCUAAACUACUUCAUUAUUAAAUACACUAAAGUGUCGUGAAUGGUGUACCCUGUGAAAACAUGAUAAUGGUGGUUGUUUUGGAAUGGUGUACCCUUCUUGUCAAAAUGAUGUCUCAACUAAGGAUUGGUGUACCUUAUAUUGGAAAAAUCCGACUAGGGAAUGGUGUACCCUAUAUUAACAAAGAUAUUAGGGAGUGGUGUAUCCUGCAUUUAAUCUCAAAUCAACUAGGAAGUGGCGUACCCUAUGUUACUAAAAGAAAAUAUAACCAGGGGUUAGUGCCUUGUAUUACUGAAAAGAAAUGUAACCGGGGGUUGGCGCCCUGUAUUACUGAAAAGAAAAUGUAACCAAGAGUUGUCACCCUGAAUUACUGAAAAGGAAAUGUAACCAGGGGUCGUACUCUGUAUUACUGAAAAUGGAACGUAACUAGGGAUUGACGCCCUAUAUUACUGAAAAAGGAAUGUAACCGGGGGCUGAAACCAUGUAUUACUGAGAAGGAAUUGUAACUAGAGGUUUGCGCCCUACAUUACUGAAAAGGGAACGUAAUCAGGGGUUAGAACCUUGUAUUACUGAAAAAAGAACGUAACUAGGGGUUGGAAGCCUGUAUUACUGAGAAGGAAUGUAACCAGGGGUUUGCGCCCUGUAUUACUGAGAAAGAAAGUAACCAGGGUUUGAUACCUUGUAUUACUGAGAAAGAAAGUAACUAGGGGUUGGCACCCUAUAUUAUGGAGAAGGAAUUGUAUCCAGAGGUUGGCACCCUAUAUUACGGAGAAGGAAAAUGUAACCAGGGGUUGGUGCCCUGUAUUACUUAAAAGACAAUGUAACUAGGGGUUGGUACCCUGUAUUACUGAUAAAAUGCUGAAUCCCUUGGGCGAAAAAGUUCUACCUGGGUUAAACUACGAAAGUAAGCCUGGGCGAAGAGUACUUCUACCCGAAAAUAUGAGCUGGAUCCCCCUAGGAAAAAAGGUUCUACCUAGNUUAAGCNNNNNNNNNNNNNNNNNNNNNNNNNNNNNNNNNNNNNNNNNNNNNNNNNNNNNNNNNNNNNNNNNNNNNNNNNNNNNNNNNNNNNNNNNNNNNNNNNNNNNNNNNNNNNNNNNNNNNNNNNNNNNNNNNNNNNNNNNNNNNNNNNNNNNNNNNNNNNNNNNNNNNNNNNNNNNNNNNNNNNNNNNNNNNNNNNNNNNNNNNNNNNNNNNNNNNNNNNNNNNNNNNNNNNNNNNNNNNNNNNNNNNNNNNNNNNNNNNNNNNNNNNNNNNNNNNNNNNNNNNNNNNNNNNNNNNNNNNNNNNNNNNNNNNNNNNNNNNNNNNNNNNNNNNNNNNNNNNNNNNNNNNNNNNNNNNNNNNNNNAGGCCUGGGUGAAGAGUACUUCUACCCGGAAAUAUGAGAUGGAUCCCCCUAGGCGAAAAAAGUUCUACCCAGAUUAAGCUACAAAAAGCAAGCCUGGGCGAAGAGUACUUCUACUCGAAAAUAUGAGAUGGAUCCCCCUAGGCGAAAAGGUUCUACCUGGGUUAAGCUAAGUAAAACAGGCCUGGGUGAAGAUUACUUUUACCCGAAAAUAUGAGUUGGAUCCCCCAAGGCGAAAAAGGUUCUACCUGGGUUAAGCUACAUAAAACAGGCCUGGGUGAAGAGUACUUCUACCCGAAAAUAUGAGCUGGAUCCCCCUAGGCGAAAAAGGUUCUACCUGGGUUAAGCUACGUAAAACAACCUAGGUGAAGAGUAAGUACUUCUACCCGAAAAUAUGAGUUGGAUCCCCCUAGGAGAAAAAAGGUUCUACCUGGGUUAAGCUACGAAAAUGGUCUGUAUGAACAGUAGUGAAUAAAUGAAAAUGGAGAUUUUGCGGAACUUACCUUUGGUGACAUUCGUCCUUUGAGAAUCUUCAUGCUGCACUGCUUUGUUCCUGCUUCAAACAAAGGAAGUUUGUGAGUUUUCAAUAUGGUGGUCGGUUUCUGGAUUUGUUGCCCUGAGUGGAUUGAAUUUACGGCCACUGUUGUCGAAGAUCCGAUUCUGUCAAUGUGGUACCGAGAUGCUCAGACACUCUAUGUCGCUUUCUGGAGACCUCAGUUUUCCGACGUUUCCCCUGAUUGUUUCAUACCCGGAUGUCCAUGGUGCCUCUAAUCCUUGUCCCUAAAGCAAGGCAAUUUUCCUUUAAAAUUGAACUUAGUUGUCUUGCACCCAGUACCAGUUUGUGUCUGUAGUGCUUAUCAACUUUUCCCAUGAAGCAAGUCUUGCUUAUGCGACCUUUUUGGUUUCUUUGAGACACUUUGUUCGGCUUAUCAAAAGAGAUCACAAAUGGAUUCGUGCCUUUGUCGAUACCGUAUGUGUCCCAAAUUAUGCUCGGUAGUAAGGGAAAACUAUAACCAGUUUUGCAACCAUUUCCUUGCUUCGCUUUUGAUGCAAGAUUAGACCAAAAGGGACUCAAAGAAAAAUUAUGGAAAAAACAUAAGAGCAAUUGAAAGUAAAAAAGGAAUUGUGUUUAAACCAAAGGUGUCCCUUUCGGGGAGAGAAAUAGAGAGACUUAUCUGUAGGUGUGUAACGACUUCAAUGAAUCAUGAAAUGCAUUUUGGACUAGACGCCUGGUUCGUCUGAGAUGUCUAAUUCUCAAAAUCCAUCGCAAAUGUUCAUCUUGAAACUGUCUUGGUUGUGCACAUGCCGGAGUAUCGAAGACCCUCAUUUGGUUAGUAGCGCCCUUUGCGGGUUUUCUCUAACUAACCUCUCUCAUUUCUCUACUCACCGUCGCCUUAUGGUGCCCCUCUGGGUUUUCACCAAUAAGACUCUCUCAUUUCUCUGUUCACUGUCGCCUUACUGUGCCUUUACGGGUUUUCACCGAUAAGACUCUCUCAUUUUUUUUGACUAAGAUACUACAUGCGGAAGGUUGCCAAAUGCCCUUGGCACGGGGACUUCAAACAUUCUCAAAGAUCGAUCAGAAGUUCCUAAUAGGGAAAGGGCGAAAAGAACCUUGAACUGAAUUACACUUUUGGAACCAUUUUUACAGAAGAAAAAACGUAAAAUAAAACAAACUUCUGCCCCAAUUUUGGAGUAUUGGGAAUAUGGAUUUUUUGUUGUGAUGGGACCGAACCCAGGGUAAGGCUGCCUACGUAUCCUUUCGGAAUCAGGUCGGACGUAGUUCACUAACUCAGAAGAUUUUAUUUUUUUACAAGUACAAAGGUUCUAAAAAGAGGGGAAACAAAGAAGACAAAUACGACUUAAAAGGGUGACACCUAUUUGGGAUAGUUAGCAAUUGUAGCCUUCGUUAUCUCGAUCUGAUAAAAUCAUGCGUGAAAGUUCCGCAAUGGGUAUAUAUCUAACAUAAUAUCUUUUGACUGCAUUUGCAUUAAUAGUCAUGUCUAGCACUCGUCCUUCUUCAUCUACCAAGUGCGAGGCCCCUUUUGGUAACACUUUCUUGAUGAUGUAGGCUCCUUGCCAGUUCGAGGCGAACUUUCCUUUAGCUUCUACCUGGUGUGGAAUGAUGCGUUUCAAAACGAGCUGGCCUACCUCAAAGUGCCUUGGGCACACUUUUUUAUUAUAAGCGCGUGCCAUUCUUUGCUUGUAUAGAUGGCCAAAACACACUGCUGCUAGUCGUUUUUCAUCAAUUAGCAUUAGCUGUUCUAAUCGGGUCUUGACCCACUCAGUGUCUUCAAUCUCCGAUUCCACAAUGAUUCGGAGAGAGUAAUUUUCGACUUCAUCAGGUAUUACAGCUUCAGUUCUAUAUACCAGCAAAUAAGGAGUUGCACCCACUGAUGUGCGAGCAGUCGUGCGGUAUCCCAAAAGAGCAAAAGGAAAAUUUUCAUGCCAUUGCCUAGACCCUUGGAUCGUCUUCCUAAAAAUCUUCUUGAUGUUCUUGUUAGCCGCUUCAAUGGCUCCAUUGGCUUUUGGCCGGUAAGGGGUAGAAUGGCGGUGCACAAUUUUAAAUUGCACGCAUACCUCAUUCAUCAGAUGACUAUUUAGACUGGUUGCAUUGUCAGUGAUAAUAGUCUUUGGGAUACCAAAGCGACACAUGAUGUUGGAAUGAACAAAGUCUACCACUGCUUUCUUGGUGACUGCUUUGAAAGUAACUAUCUCCACCCAUUUGAUGAAAUAAUCAAUGGCGACCAAAAUGAAUCUAUGCCCAUGUGAAGCUUUUGGCUCGAUUGGCCCAAUAACAGCCAUUCCCCAAGCAAAGAAAGGCCAAGGAGAGGACAUGGGAUGCAAUUCCGACGGAGGCGAGUGAAUCAGGUCGCCAUGAAUUUGUAUUGGUGACACUUGCGAAUAAAACUGAAGCAAUCUCGCUCCAUAGUAAGUCAAUAAUACCCUGUCCGUAGAAUCUUCUUUGCCAAAACAUAUCCAUUCAUGUGAGGCCCACAUACCCUCAAAUGCACUUUAUUCAUGAUCCGUUCGGCUUCUGUGGAAUCUAUGCAUCUCAACAAGUUUAAAUCUGGGGUCCUUUUGUACAAAAUUUCCCCAUUCAGGAAGAAACUACCAGCGAGCCGUCAUAUAGUUCUUUUUUGAUCUCCCUUGGCAUACUAUGGGUAUUCCCUUAUUUUCAGGAAUUGUUUUAUGUCAUGAUACCAUGGUUCACCAUAUGGUUCUGCCUCAAUUGUAUUGUAGUAACCGUGUUGAUUCCGAACUUGGAUUUCUAAUGGAUCAAUAUAAAUAUUGGUUGGAUAAGGAAGCAUCGAUGCUAAGGUAGCCAAGGUGUCAGCUAGCUCGUUGUGAAACCUGGGAAUGUACCUGAACUCGAUGGAUUUAAAUCUUUUGCUCAGGUCUUGCACACAUUGUCUGUAUGGAAUAAGCUUGAUGUCUCGAGUCUUCCAUUCGCCUUGGGCUUGCCGGAUAAGCAAGUCAGAAUCUCCCAUAACCAAUAGUUCAUGUACAUCUAGAUCGAGGGCCAUUUUCAGACCCAUGAUACAAGCCUCGUAUUCUGCCGUAUUAUUGGUACAGAAGAAUCAAAGUAUGUGCUUAGUGGCUCAUAGUCAUCAUCGACUGGAUUCUCUGCCAAAUGAUCAGCCAAAGCUUGUGCUUUCAUUGCGGUGCGAGUGACAUAGACGACGUCGAACUCUGUGAGCAGAAUUUGCCACUUUGCGAGCCUGCCAGUGGGCAUUGACUUUUGGAAGAUGUACUUCAAGGGAUCCAUUCUGGAUAUGAGGUAAGUAGUGUAGGCCAAAAGAUAAUACCUCAGCUUCUGAGCGACCCAAGUCAAGGCACAACAAGUCCUUUCUAAAAGAGUAUACUUAACCUCAUAAUUGGUGAACUUCUUGCUCAAAUAAUAGACUGCAUGUUCCUUAUUGCCCGUCGCAUCAUGUUUCCCCAGUACGCAUCCAAAGGAAAUAUCCAUCAUCAAUAGAUAUUAAAACAAAGGCUUACCCGGUUCAGGUGAGACCAGUACAGGGGGUUUCGACAGAUAGUCCUUGAUCCUGUCGAAUUAUUUUUGGAAGUCGCUUGUCCAUUUAACAACAACAUCCUUUUUUAACAACUUAAAGACGGGCUCGCACGUGGUUGUGAGUUGAGAAAUGAACCUACUGAUAUAGUUCAACCUCCCGAGCACACUCAUGACUUCAGUUUUAUUCUUCGGGGGCGACAGAUAUCGAAUGGACUUUAUCUUAGAUGGAUCCAAUUCGAUGCCUCUCCGACUGACUAUAAAACCGAGGAGUUUCCUAGACGGAACCCCAAAUGCACACUUGGCUGGAUUGAUCUUAAGAUCAUACCUUCAUAGUCGUUCGAAGAACUUUUUCAAAUCACGCACGUGAUCAACCCGUGUCUUUGAUUUUAUGAUGACAUCAUCGACAUAUACUUCAAUAUCCUUGUGCAUCAUAUCGUGGAAAAUGGUAGUCAUGGCCCUCAUGUACGUUGCCCCUGCAUUCUUCAAACCGAAUGGUAUGACCCUGUAGUAAUAAGUACCCCAUGGAGUGGUGAAAACAGUCUUUUCUGCAUCAUCCUCAUCCAUUAGAAUCUGGUGAUACCCAACAUAGCAAUCCACAAAUGAUUGUAUCCCAUGCUUUGCGCAAUUAUCUACAAGAAUGUGGAUGUUUGUAAAGGAAAAUUAUCCUUUGGAAUUGCUUUGUUCAGGUCUCUGUAGUUAACACAAAUUCUGGUUUUUCCAUCCUUCUUUGGCACAGACACAACAUUUGCCACCCAGGUGGUGUAUCGAACAGCUCUGAUCAUAUUGGCGCUCAGUUGCUUCAUUAUUUCCUCUUUUAUUUUGUCACUCAUAUCUGUUUUAAAUUUUCAUUGCUUUUGUUGGACUUGUGGAAAAUCAAGAUACGUGGGAAGCUUNNNNNNNNNNNNNNNNNNNNNNNNNNNNNNNNNNNNNNNNNNNNNNNNNNNNNNNNNNNNNNNNNNNNNNNNNNNNNNNNNNNNNNNNNNNNNNNNNNNNNNNNNNNNNNNNNNNNNNNNNNNNNNNNNNNNNNNNNNNNNNNNNNNNNNNNNNNNNNNNNNNNNNNNNNNNNNNNNNNNNNNNNNNNNNNNNNNNNNNNNNNNNNNNNNNNNNNNNNNNNNNNNNNNNNNNNNNNNNNNNNNNNNNNNNNNNNNNNNNNNNNNNNNNNNNNNNNNNNNNNNNNNNNNNNNNNNNNNNNNNNNNNNNNNNNNNNNNNNNNNNNNNNNNNNNNNNNNNNNNNNNNNNNNNNNNNNNNNNNNNNNNNNNNNNNNNNNNNNNNNNNNNNNNNNNNNNNNNNNNNNNNNNNNNNNNNNNNNNNNNNNNNNNNNNNNNNNNNNNNNNNNNNNNNNNNNNNNNNNNNNNNNNNNNNNNNNNNNNNNNNNNNNNNNNNNNNNNNNNNNNNNNNNNNNNNNNNNNNNNNNNNNNNNNNNNNNNNNNNNNNNNNNNNNNNNNNNNNNNNNNNNNNNNNNNNNNNNNNNNNNNNNNNNNNNGCCGAGGAAUUUUUGACCCUCUUGGAGUCGUGGCUUAACAAAAGUGUAGAAAAUAUGAGGGAUAUAUUGCUGCAAGACCCACCCAUGCUUUUUGCGGUGCUUGAAUUUGUCUUCGUCUGCUUGCGUUGGCCUAAAGCCUAAGCCAAAAGUACCUUUGUUACUAAAUGGAGAGAGGGGUUCUGGAAUUCCUUGCAAUGAUGCCCCAAGCCUUUUCCUGGAUCAUAAUCCUAUCUCAGCAUAAGUGCAGCCACUAUUACAGAUAUGGCGAAAAGACGGGUAUGCAUAAUGGGCUUUCUUUCCUCAAUAUGGUCCACAACAACCACUUCAAAAGUCUGAUAGAUAAUGGACUCGCACCCUUCCUUGGCCUCAAUACAAAAGAUUAAUGGGUCUUUAUAAAUGGAUGAAUCGUCUUCUCCGUGAACAAUAAUUUCUUGCUUGUCAUGUUCGAACUUGAGCAUCUGAUGCAAGGUGGAUGGCACAGCUCAAGCCAUAUGGGAUCCAUGGCCUUUCAAGAAGAAAAUUAUAAGAAGUUUCUAUGUCCACUACUUGGAAGAUAAUUUCAAAAUCGACCGGUCCAAUUGUCAUGGUGAGGCACAUCUCCCCAAUGGUUUCUCUUGCCGAGCUAUCAAAGGCCUGAAUACGGACAUUGCUGGGUCGGAUUCUAUCUGUAUUGAUCUUCAUGCUUUGCAAGGUGGAGAGAGGUCAUACAUCUACGCUUGAGCCUCCAUCACCAUGACUCGCUUUACGUAAUGCCCCUCAUAUUUGACAACCAGGUGUAAAGCCCUAUUGUGCCCGGCUCCUUCUUCGGGGAGUUCAUUAUUAGUAAAGGUGAUUCUGUUCACCUUAAAAAAUCUGUUGGCCAUCUUCUCUAACUGAUUCACUGUGGUCUUCUCUGAGACAUGUGCCUCAUUCAAGAUCUUGAUUAGUACACGGGCAUGCUCUUUUGAAUGUAUGAGCAAAGAUAGUAGAGAGAUUUGGGCAUGAUUCUUUCUCAGCUGGUCAAUGAUUGAAUAAUCUUGUACUUUCAUCUUUUUCAAAAACUCUUCCGCCUCUUCUUCAGUGACUAGUUUCUUUAUUGGCAUUUGGCCUUCUCUGAUUUGCUUGGCCUUCCUCAACUCUUCUGGAGAGUAACACCUCCCCGAUCGAGUCAAACCUCCAAGUUCCCCCACUUCUUCUAUGAUUUCCUUGCCUUUGUAGGUCAUCACAAUUUUGUUGUAGUUCCAAGGAAUGGUUUUCGUGUUUGUCACACGGGGUUGUAUGGCAGACUUGAUUAUGAUCGGCUCUGUUAUACCCUUUGUACUGCCAUGCUUCUGCCUUGUGAUGGGGUGGCCCCUAAGUACAUACAACUUUGGGCUUGGAACAUUGGAGCAAAUUUCCAACCUCGAUAUUUUUGGAACAAAUAAAGUUUCCUUCUCUGAGCUCUGGGAGACUUUCACAAUCAACGACACAUCUCGGCUUGGGCUUACUUCCCGUCCUGCUCUUUCUUGAAUCAUUCCCACUGUCAUUUAUGCUCGACCAACCGUCUUGUAUUUUUGAACUCGGCCAAUCAUUACCACAAAAUGAAUAUCAUUAUGUGCUGGCAAUGGGUUGUUUGUCACAUUAGGGGUGUCUUCUCCAUUCAUUCCCACAAUCAACUUUUCACCGAUGAGUCUUUCUAUGGCUCUUUUCAGAGUCCAAUAGUCAUCGGUGCUAUGCCCCGGGGCACCUGAAUGAUAUUCACAUCUAGCAUUUGCGUGAAAUCCAUGUGACUUGGGAUGCAUAUGAUGGGGAGCGAUGGGUCCAAUCAUGCCUAUCUGCUUCAACUUCUGGAAUAGACUAGAGUAUGAUCCAGCCAAGGAGUGAUCUUUUCCACCGGCCUCUACUCUCGACCAUAAUCCUACCUGGGACGAGCAUUGUAGGGUGCCCAAAAAUUUAUCUGGUGAGGUCGGGGGAUACAUGGAGCUGGUGCCCGUACCUAUUGAUUUGUGAGGACGAGCAUAGGAUUGAGCAUUAAACACUGUAUAAUGUGGUGGGACCAUAGAGUAUUGAGGAAUUGGCGGGGGAUAAUAAUAUUGAGGGUAGUUGGAUUGCCCCUGCUGAACUUGCACAUAAGGAUGUGAUGCCCCUCUUUGAACUUCCUUGGACCCCGAAGUCAGCAUGGACCCUUCUUCUCUCUUCUUUCUAUUUGCCAAACUUCCCGACCCAUUUUAGAUUGCUUGGGUGGUGGCUUUGAGAGCAGCUUGACUUAUAUUCUGCCAGUCUUGAGGCAAUUUUCGACCAUCUCCCCUAUUUUAAUUGCUUAUGCAAAAGGUCUACUCAUUGCGGACAUCAUGUUCUGAAAGUAAUCAGGCUCUUGAGCCUCUAUAAAAACAGUGAUCAACUCAUGGUUAUCCAUGGGUGACUUAACUCUAGCCGGUUGCUCCCUCCACUUGAUGGCAUACUCUCUAAAGCUUCCAGUCAGCUUUUUCUUCAUAUUGGACAGGGAAUUACGAUCUGGCGCAUUAUUAAUGUUGUACUGGAAUUAUUUGACAAAGGCCUGGGCCAUGUCAUCCCAAACAUGCUGGUGAGAGAUAUCUUGGUCAAUGAACCAUUCGUAGGCUACCCCCAUAAGACUUUCCCCAAAAUAAGCCAUCAGUAAUUCUUCUUUUCCAUCUGCACCCCUCAGCUGGUUGCAGUACCUUUUCAAGUGGGCGAUAAGGUCGCCGUGUCCAUCAAAUUUCUCAAAUUGUGGGGUCUUGAACCCUGUUGGCAAACGAAUGUUAAGGAACAUGCAUAGAUCACUGAAUGAAACACAUUUGUGACCACUUCGUCCUUGUAUGUUCUUUAUGUUCUAUUCAAGACUUUUCAUUUUCUUGGCCAUCUAAUCCUACUCAACCCUCUUGGUAGGCUUUUUAUUUUCCACUGGUGACUCGUACUGAGGAAUCUGAUUGUAUGGAACCGAGACCCUGAAAGCCAUAUUUGGAGAGUAGUAUUGGCCAUCAUAAGCAUGGGAUAGUGGCUCGUGUUUUGGCCUCGUCACAUGAGGUGGUGGCGGGAUUGUAUAUACCGGUGAGCCAGACACGAUGAGAGGGGUGUUCAUGACCGGUGCGCUGGAGGUCGCACAUUAGAGGUACCAGGGGUAGCAUGGAGGCUGUAGUUUGGCACAUACCUUGGUGGUAUAAUGUGAUCGCUCAUUGCAGGGAGCGAUGGUUGAGUAGCUAGGGGUACGGUGGAAGUUCUCUCUGAGGGACCCCACGGUGGAGGCUGAUCGGAAACCCAAGCUUGAUAUACAUUAGACAAUUGCUGUCUCAAUUUUCUUAUUUCCUCCGACUCUUGCUCAACUGAUUGACCCUGGGGGGUCGUCACUGACCAGCUCGAUCUCAUCAUUGUUAGCCAUUGCUACUUUUUCCUUAGAUCUAGUGAAGUAAUGAUGUGUUUCCAAUUUCACCACAAACCAACCACCUUAAGCUUACUUUGAUAAGAGGCAACAAACGUGUUAGGGUCAAGCAUUUAACAAAUACAAAUCACACGUAAAUAUGCUAUGCUCCUAAGAUUAUUACCAUCUCUAACAUGCUUUUGGAAGGCUUCAUGUUUCAUUCUGGCUUUUAAGGUUGCUUCUUAUUGACGUUCUUAUUUCCUUCUCUUUUUUUUCACUUGCCUCAUUUCGAUCCCUCAUUCUAGAGUCAUUGAAAAAUAUUUGAUCCACCUUUUGGGGGUUGCCUACGUAUCAUGUCGCUGCAUGAAUCAGAUCAUUACGUAGUUCAAGGGGGAUAAUAAUAAUAAUUUUGAUGAUUUUUGAUUUUCUUUUAAAGUUUUUUUUAUAAAAAUAGAAUAUUUUUCAUUCAUUUAAAAUCAAUUUGUUUUGGUUUUAAAUACAAUAAGAGAAAAGAAAAAUAUAUAAAAACUAACUCAAUUGACACUAAAGACAUAAAUAUGACUGUAAUAAAAUAAAUUUUGAUAGGAAUAAAAAUCUCCAAAUAUAAAAUUUAAAAUGCGACAAAUGAAAAUGAAACUAAAAACUAAUUGACUGCACUAAAACUUUAAUCUUCAAUGGCCUUCUUGCUUAAACUGAUAUCAUCAAUGGUCCGCAUCCCUUGGCCUGCACUCUCCCCCCAAAGUCUCGUACAAAUUCUGAAACACCGUCGACAACUGUGGAACGAGGGCAAGUGCCUAUUGACCAACUUUCUCACUGUUUAGAUGACGAUGGUCAUCAUGAAUACAUGCUGCUUUCUCUACCAAUUGAAGUACUUACUCUAUGGCUUGCCCCAUAUUCACGUGACAAUUCUGCAACCAUAUCUAGGUAGUGUUGAGGGCGUGCCCCAUCUGAGACUCACGUCCCUCAUAUUCUUCAAUACGACGGUUUAGCAUACCUAUCUCAAUCAUCCACUGAUGCAGCUCUCCCUCAAAAUCUGUAUGUUGAUGACCCCUCUUCUGCCUUUUUAUUUCUUCCAAUUGUGCAUGAAGCUGGCCCUUUGAGCGUAUCCAAUGGGCCCUUUCUCUUUCAAACUGCUCUCUCUACUGAUCAAACUCCAAUUGUUGCUGGUGCACAUCCUCUUCAAUGAUACUUAAGUCUUCUUGCAGCUUAUGCAUUUCAGCAUUUUUAUUAACCUCAACUCUUCUGACUAAACCAAUCGUGCUUGACAGUUCUUCUUCUAAGCGGUCCGCCUCAUAUUUAGCAUGCUUUAGAUCUUUAUUCAUGCCCCGUAAGGCAGAUUGAUUAUCUUUUUCAAUAUUUAAAUGAAUCUGAGCGACUCCGAGUUGCUACUGGGCUUGUUGUUUGGCUAUGGUCAUCCGAGCAUGCUCCAAUUCCUCUUUUAGCCUUUCUAUAGUUCUUUGAUCAUUUCUCCACCUGCUGGACCCCUCAGGCCUGUCUCUAAAUGACGAAAGGUCAUGAAACCAGGUAAUAUAUUCAAGGAUCACCUCUCCACGAUCUCGAUCUUCUACCAUCUCAUUCAACUCCGAGACCUUACUUGCAUACCAAAUUUUCAUAAUUUCUUCUUCAUCAUGAGGCUGAUCUUUACCAAAAUCAUAACAGAACUUGCUCAUAUCUCGUGUUGGUGGCACCUCCUGUAGUCGUGCAAAUUAUACUUUACCCAAAGUGGAGCAUAAGACAGAACACCAUCCAAUCCUAUGAGUACCAAAUAAGAAUGGUAUGCAGACUUACAAAUGACAUCUUUAGAGGAAAACCAAUCGUAGUUCCAAGUGAUCCGUUUGGCGGACAGAGUAAGAAGCAGAUCUUUCCAUGCGUCAAUCCCUCCUGAUAAGUCACAUUCGUCAAUUCUUUUCUAGUGAUCAUAAGUAUUAUUGGGCCAAAGCUCACUAAAAUCAUUGAUCGUAGGAUGACGAUAAAAAUGCUCCAAAAACCAUAUCUGUAACAGAAUGUUAUAGCCAUCAAAGUUGCGCGUGCACAAUUUACAUUUAGUUAAAGCACAAAAAAUGCAAGAAAGAAUCAUAGGAACCAAAAUAUAAUCAUCCCCUUCUGAGGUCAGAGCCUCAACUACACUUGCCAAGCGGAUGUCAAUGUGUCCUUCCCUUCCCGGAAAAACUACACGCCCCAAAAAAGUAACCAUAAAUACCAACAUUCUAUGUACCUUCCAUGUUUUCUUAUCUUCCCACAUUCCUUUCGAAAUUGCAUUCUAGGCCAUACAGGUGGAACAAAAAUCCCAACUUAACCCACUUGGCUCCUAAACCUUCAUAUUAUCCGUAAUUUAUGUUCAAGAGCUUCACAAACCUACCCCCAUUCAUAUUUUUUGGUUCUAUGGUCCUUUGGCGGUGAAGAUUGCGGCCCCACCCCUAAAAAUGGGAGAUUUCCUCCAAGGUCGGAGUCAUUUCACAGUCGGUAAAACGGAACACAUUAUUUUUAGGACCCAGUGCGGAAUCAAAGCUUCGGUCACAUCCCUCCUAGGCUUGAUCGUAAUCAUGUGAACCAAAAGUCCCAAGUAUUUCUUUAUCUGGUUUUGCUCAUAUUCCUUAAAGUCUCUCCACCAAUCCCUUAACAAUUGUGGUAUCUGAUCGACAAUCAGAAAAUACGGUAUCCCUUAUGAUCUGGGCCUCUUUUCAGCCUUACCUCUUUCCCCACUCAUGGUGUACCUGUUUACCCAAACACGAGGUUAGGCUUUAAUCAAAUAUAUUAUUGACACACAAAAAUUCCGAUUUCUCGGGUUUUGACUCUAUAAAAAUAAAAAAACAAAAGCCAAAAUGUGGAACUAAAAAAAGGUUAAAUAUAAAAGGCUCGAAAUGACUAUUUUUUGCAAAAAUAAGUGAACAUAAACAAACAAAUAAAUAAAUAAAUAAAAACUGGCCUCUUUUGUUAAAACGACCAUUUCGCAUUUUCGAGGAAGGUUUCAAGGCUAUUUUGACAAAAGGAGUGGACGCAAGGGCAAAACUGGUCAAAAGAGAUAAAACUAAAAGAAUUACUAUAUUAUUAUUAUUAUUAUUUGAAAAAUAAUAAUUCAUAGACACUUUUUUUUAAAAAAUUUUGGGUUGAACCCGAUGAAGGUUGCCUACGUAUAUCACAUCCGGUGAGAAUCAAACCCACGUAAUUCGGUUAAAAUAAAUAAAAAAAUAUUUUGAAAACUGUGAUUUUACACAUUAGAACCUUUCAAAACUUUUUUUUUAUAAAAAAAAUGGGAACUUUAUGAAAACGUGGAGGAAAUGUUUUCUUUCUCUCUCUGUUCAAUCAAUCUAUCCUGAAGCUGAUCAAUAAUUGAUUAAAGCCUACCAAAUAAUGUUACAUAUAGCACAAAAAAAUGAACAUAUUGGGCUGAAAAAUUGGUACCUGUCCUAGACGGGCCCGACCCCUGUGCCGAGUCCCGCUAAGUCCAAUGCACAUGAUGCAAAUAAAGCGUAGCCUACUAGGGAUAUUCAUUGCUUGUAGCUUGUUCUUCUAAGUUUUCAAAUCCUAAAGGAGAUGGUAUCUAGAAUUGGCUUACCCGGGCAGACAACCCGAGUCGAGGAGCGUUAAGCGUCACCAGUAGUAGAAUAACACUGGCUAGCUAACGGCUCUCCCGCCUAAAUAUGUGUGACUAAAUCCUUCACCAGAAUCUUGUAGGCUAACUGGCUUUAUCUCAAGACAGAAAUUUUGUGAUGCUGGUAGGCAAACACAACAUAACUAACUAUCAUAAGACUCAGAGGGUGAGAGAGAGGAUACAAUUUAUAUCACAGUUCAAAUAAAUAUUAAAGCGGUAAAUAAGCGACAAAUAGCACAUUAGGCUUCCAAACACAAUAAUAUCCAAAACAUGAUAAAAACCAAAUAAGAAUCAAUAUACAAAGCUCGAAUUCUUAUUAGUAGGUCCCCAUGAGAGUCGCCAGAGGUGUCACACCCCUUUUUAACCCCAACAAGAUAUAUAUUAUUAUAUGGGUUAAAGAGUUUUUCUAACUUAAAGUGACAAAUUUGAGUAGAGAUUAUUUUAUUUAUAGAAUCGCCACUUGAAAUUGAUUUUUGGGUGUUCCAAGUCACCUUUUAUUUGAAUCCCUAGUCAAAGGAAAGUUGACUCUAUUUAUUAUUGGUCUGCAAAAACAAAGUUCGGGUAAGAAAUUCUGUUAACCGGGAAGAAGGUGUAAGGCAUUCCCCGAGUCCCAUGGUUCUAACACGGCGCUUUAUUGACUACAACUUGUCUUGAAUUAAUUUUGGAUAAACUAUGAUUUAUUGGUUUUCAUGUUUUAUCUAUAUGCUUUUAAUCAUUAAAAUAUGGGAUUAUCCUUAAAACGAAUCACGUGUGUGAAUCCGUUUUGUUUAUUGUGCCGAAAUCAUGUCACGCAUAUGUGUACACAAUUAAUAAUAUUUUAUUAUAUUAAGAUUAUUUUUUCCAAAGUUGAGCGAACACAUAUUUCAAUUUUAAUUUUUAAAAUCAUAACUAUGUCACGCGGACGUGUACAUAAGAGCGAUAAUUUAUUUAUUAAUACGCACCUAAAGCAUACUAGCGAUUAUUAAGAAUUAUUUUUUUUCUAAACUAAUUUUGAGAUUAUUGCAAGGUCAUUGAUUAUGGAUAAAUAAUUAUUGUGGAAGAUGUUAUGUACUCUAGUUAUUAAGCUAAUGGGCUAGUGAAUAUUUCAAAGGAAAUUAAAGCUCAUAUGCACCCUUUUUAAGAAAUAUACCACGUCCAAUUAGUCCUAACCGCUCCUACAGCCUAAUUAUUAUUAUGAAAUAUGUUAGCUCAAUACCAACCCUUUAACAACAUAUCCAACAAUCCCCAUGGCCCAAUGAUCUUGUAUCACAAUCCACUUGCCGGCUAUAAAAUCUUCAUUAUUCAAGCUUUCUAAGAAGAUUAAAUCUUACUACAAUUUAUAAAAAAUCUUAUCUAAGUAAUUUAUCAAUCAAUUGCUUUGAAUCAGACAAAAAGAAAUCUAAAACAUUAGUCUAAAGCAUCAAAAAAUUACAUGAACAAUAUAAUAACUCGUGGCAUGGAAACACAUAUCAUUCGCACAGAUGAACUAAACAAGAGCUUAAAACAUUUAUUUAGAAAGAAAAUGAAGGAUGUAGCGAACCUUUAGUGGAGUAAAACUUUCUUCAUUGUAUUAAUAAAAAAAUUCAAGCGUUGAAUUACAGAGAGAAUGCACCAACCAAUCUUAAAGGCAGAAAACUACGAACAAGUACCUCUGACCGGAAACCUCGAUGACGACCUCAAUAACAACCUCCUGUUGGUAGUGUUUGGGGUAAGUUUCAGAUGCUAUUUUGUGGAUUUCGCGGUUGUUUUUGGAAAGUUUAGUGGCUGUUUUAUAGCUGGUUUUGCAGCUGAUUUUCGUUACUCUUUUUGGCUGUUUUAGUAGCUGAUUUUGCUAUGAUUUUUGGGGUGGGUUUUAGGUGCUGAUUUUGGAGAAGCUAAGGCUGCUCAUCUUUUUUUUUUUGAGAAGGAGCUGUCCCGUUUCCUUUUUUCCCGCUGCUUUAAGAAGAAGAAAAAUGGGCUACUAUUUUUUUAAUGAGCAGCAGUGCUCUUUUUAUUUUCUCUUUCUUCCUCUUUUUACUCCCAUUUUCCCG
rnacentral:lncRNA from 1 species